ACUUUCUUGUAUGAGCACUAUGCUAAAAUUGCAGAAACUAGGAUCUCAUCUGUAAAGACUAGUGUGGACCACCUCUUUCUUAAUGUCCAGUGUCCUUUGUCUUAAGAUUUUGUGUGAUAUGU
ensembl:snoRNA